rnacentral:rRNA from 1 species
UGGAUCCUCGGGAGGCAGCAGUGGGGGAUAUUGCACAAUGGGGGAAACCCUGAUGCAGCGACGCCGCGUGAGUGAAGAAGUAUUUCGGUACGUAAAGCUCUAUCAGCAGGGAAGAAUAAUGACGGUACCUGACUAAGAAGCCCCGGCUAACUACGUGCCAGCAGCCGCGGUAAUACGUAGGGGGCAAGCGUUAUCCGGAUUUACUGGGUGUAAAGGGAGCGUAGACGGCAGUGCAAGUCUGAAGUGAAAUGCC